CGAAUGGAUUUCGAAUCGUGUUCCAUAAUUUCUACAUCAGAUAUACCAAUCGAAUCCAAAUUGGGACAGGUACUGAUCCAUCUGAUGCACAGUCUGUCAUCACAUAUCUCUUUGGAUCUCGAAGCUUUUCUGAUGAUGUUUAUGUGGAGACCAAUAAGAUGUGGAUUGCUGUCAUAGGAGGACCGACUGACACCAAUCUCUUCAUAGAUGUUGACAUCUUCGCUAUUGAUCUCUCUACUCUGUUUAGCUGCCCAGUGAGCAAUAUGAGCGUGUCAUCAGAUGUUCUCUGUGAUGGAGUGUACCAUUGCGAUCAUUAUGAAGAUGAGUCGGCAUGCAAUUACACUGCGACAUAUCUGCAAUCAGGUGCAUCUUAUUCAGUCGACAUACCACGCAACUACACAAGACGAUUUUACCACGCAACCGUGCUACAAACAAACGAUACGAAUGGAUUUCGCAUCGUGU